UUGGAAUUCGUAAGACAUUUUCCAUUCCCUUCUCUACACUCUCGAUAGCAGUGGUUCUCUCUUCCUCUCUGUCCAUCAGCCUCUGCCGCUCCUCCUCAUCUCUGUUCGUUGUCCUCGUCAUCUCUGUCGGUCGACCCUCGUCAAGUCUGUAUUUUAAAGAAACCUUAAAAAAUUAGCAGCCACAAGUUGCUAAAAAAUUACAACCUGAAUCGUCACCUCUUCUCGCGAUUCAUCGAAGGAGAAACUGUUUCAAAGGAUUUUGAGGCAGCAAGAGGAAGGAUCACGGGUUACAACAACUGAUAUAGUUUCAUAUUUGCAGAUAUCUUCUGUGAUUUCUUGCUCUUAUUAUUUUUGAUGAAUUUGCUUAGCUAAUGGUAGUUCUUUUACUUUAGCACCAUUCUUAUACUUAAUUUAUAUCCUUUAUAUUAAACUUAAUGCUUCAACCAACAGUGUGUUUCUGCACCACUCGGGUGAUUUCAACUGUAGUGUCCAAACAGUUAAGCA